GAGUUUGAUCAUGGCUCAGAAUACAACGCUGGCGGCGCGCUUAACACAUGCAAGUCGAACGACGAAAGGGAGCGAAAUCCUGAGUAAAGUGGCGCACUGGUGAGUAACACGUGGAUAUCUACCUCCUGGUGGGGAAUAACCUAGGGGAAACGUGCAGCUAAUACCGCAUGAGCCCGAGAGGGGAAAGAUUUAUCGCCAUUGGAGGGGCCCGCGUUCGAUUAGGUAGUUGGUGGGGUAAAGGCCUACCAAGCCGACGAUCGAUAGCUGGUCUGAGAGGAUGAUCAGCCACACUGGGACUGAGAUACGGCCCAGACUCCUACGGGAGGCAGCAGUGGGGAAUAUUGGACAAUGGGGGCAACCCUGAUCCAGCAAUGCCGCGUGAGUGAUGAAGGCCUUGGUUGUAAGCUC
rnacentral:rRNA from 1 species